rnacentral:rRNA from 1 species
AAUAGGGCGUUAAAAGAUGUAGGUAUAUUUUCUAUAGGCAAAUCCGUAGAGAAUGCUGAAGUCCAACAGUACCAGGAGGCUCCGGCCGAAUGGAUAGAGAAUGUAAGCAGACUUCCGAGAAAAUCUUCUAAGCAUAUUGAUACGGUACCCGUACCGCAAACCGACACAGGUAGUCAAGGAGAGAAUCCUGAGGUGCUCGAGUGAGUCAUGGCUAAGGAACUAGGCAAAUUAAACCUGUAACUUCGGGAAAAGGGUUGCCUCUCUUUAGCAAUAAAGAAGGUCGCAGAGAAAUGGCCCAGGCGACUGUUUAACAAAAACACAUGGCUAUGCGAAAUCGUAAGAUGAAGUAUAUGGCCUGACACCUGCCCGGUGCUGGAAGGUUAAGGGGGGAAGUUAGUCGCAAGGCGAAGCUUUGAACUGAAGCCCCAGUAAACGGCGGCCGUAACUAUAACGGUCCUAAGGUAGCGAAAUUCCUUGUCGGGUAAGUUCCGACCUGCACGAAUGGUGUAACGAUCUGGGCACUGUCUCAGCCAUGAGCUCGGUGAAAUUGUAGUCACGGUGAAGUUGCCGUGUACCCGUCACGGGACGGAAAGACCCCAUGCACCUUUACUAUAGCUUCGCAUUGACAUUGGGUAGAUGAUGUGUAGGAUAGGUGGGAGGCGUUGAUCCUGUGCCGCUAGGUAUAGGGGAGCCAACGGUGAAAUACCACCCUUUAUUUAUCUGAUGUCUAAUCCGCAAGACCUGCGGAGACAGUGCGUGGUGGGUAGUUUGACUGGGGUGGUCGCCUCCGAAAGUGUAUCGGAGGCUUUCAAAGGUAUGCUCAAUACGCUUGGUAACCGUAUGUGGAGUGCAAUAGCAUAAGCAUGCUUGACUGUGAGACUGACAAGUCGAGCAGGGUCGAAAGACGGAUAUAGUGAUCCGGUGGUUCUGUAUGGAAGGGCCAUCGCUCAAAGGAUAAAAGGUACGCUGGGGAUAACAGGCUGAUCUCCCCCAAGAGCUCACAUCGACGGGGAGGUUUGGCACCUCGAUGUCGGCUCGUCACAUCCUGGGGCUGGAGAAGGUCCCAAGGGUUAGGCUGUUCGCCUAUUAAAGUGGCACGCGAGCUGGGUUCAGAACGUCGUGAGACAGUUCGGUCCCUAUCUGUGAUGGGCGUAGGAAGUUUGAGAGGAUCUGACCUUAGUACGAGAGGACCGGGUUGGACCAACCGCUGGUGUACCGGUUGUGGCGUCAGCUGCAUCGCCGGGUAGCUACGUUGGGACGAGAUAAGCGCUGAAAGCAUCUAAGCGCGAAACUCACCUCAAGAUGAGACUUCCAUUAAGGGACGUCAGAGACUAUGACGUUGAUAGGCUGCAGGUGUAAAGGCAGAAAUGUCAAAGCUGAGCAGUACUAAUUACCCGAACGCUUCAGAAA